CUAGCACUAUAGUCUUCACCUAUCUAGAUUAGCGUUGCCCCUGCCAUGUGAGUGCUGGAAGGGUGAGUUUUACUUACCUCGCAGCCCUCUCCGUGCUGGUCUCUCUUAAGGAAGCUCCGGGACCUUGGCUAAGAUCCAAUAGGAACGCGUUGGGACGCUAGUGCGCCUGCAAUGUAAAACAGAUGGUAUCUGCGAUACCAUCUGAUUGAAAUAGAGUUUUACUCUGAUAUUUUGUCAGUAUGACUGACAGCCACUAGAGGCAAUUAAAUCCUGCAAUGUAAACACUGCUGUUUUUGCGGAAUUAAAACUAGAGGGACAUGGCACCCAGACCACGUGCCUAUAGAAACCCUUUAAAUUAGAAAUUCAC